rnacentral:rRNA from 1 species
CGCACUUCGGUGCAAUGUACGAGUGGCGAACGGGUGAGUAACACGUGAGAAACCUGCCUCGGAGACCGGGACAACCAUUGGAAACGAUGGCUAAUACCGGAUGUCCUCAUUUGAUCGCAUGAUCUUUUGAGGAAAUGAUCCGUCGCUCCGGGAGGGUCUCGCGGCCUAUCAGCUUGUUGGUGAGGUAAUGGCUCACCAAGGCAUCGACGGGUAGCUGGUCUGAGAGGACGAUCAGCCACACUGGGACUGAGACACGGCCCAGACUCCUACGGGAGGCAGCAGUAGGGAAUCUUGCACAAUGGGCGAAAGCCUGAUGCAGCGACGCCGCGUGGGGGAUGAAGGCCUUCGGGUUGUAAACCCCUUUCAGUAGGGACGAAAAUGACGGUACCUACAGAAGAAGCUCCGGCCAACUACGUGCCAGCAGCCGCGGUAACACGUAGGGAGCAAGCGUUGUCCGGAUUUAUUGGGCGUAAAG